CGACAGGCUUAACACAUGCAAGUCGAGGGGCAGCACAGGUAGUAAUACCGGGUGGCGACCGGCGCACGGGUGAGUAACGCGUAUGCAACUUACCUAUCAGAGGGGGAUAACCCGGCGAAAGUCGGACUAAUACCGCAUGAAGCAGGGGCCCCGCAUGGGGAUAUUUGCUAAAGAUUCAUCGCUGAUAGAUAGGCAUGCGUUCCAUUAGGCAGUUGGCGGGGUAACGGCCCACCAAACCGACGAUGGAUAGGGGUUCUGAGAGGAAGGUCCCCCACAUUGGUACUGAGACACGGACCAAACUCCUACGGGAGGUAGCAGUGAGGAAUAUUGGUCAAUGGCCGAGAGGCUGAACCAGCCAAGUCGCGUGAGGGAUGAAGGUUCUAUGGAUCGUAAACCUCUUUUAUAAGGGAAUAAAGUGCGGGACGUGUCCCGUUUUGUAUGUACCUUAUGAAUAAGGAUCGGCUAACUCCGUGCCAGCAGCCGCGGUAAUACGGAGGAUCCGAGCGUUAUCCGGAUUUAUUGGGUUUAAAGGGUGCGUAGGCGGCCUUUUAAGUCAGCGGUGAAAGUCUGUGGCUCAACCAUAGAAUUGCCGUUGAAACUGGGGGGCUUGAGUAUGUUUGAGGCAGGCGGAAUGCGUGGUGUAGCGGUGAAAUGCAUAGAUAUCACGCAGAACCCCGAUUGCGAAGGCAGCCUGCCAAGCCAUUACUGACGCUGAUGCACGAAAGCGUGGGGAUCAAACAGGAUUAGAUACCCUGGUAGUCCACGCAGUAAACGAUGAUCACUAGCUGUUUGCGAUACACUGUAAGCGGCACAGCGAAAGCGUUAAGUGAUCCACCUGGGGAGUACGCCGGCAACGGUGAAACUCAAAGGAAUUGACGGGGGCCCGCACAAGCGGAGGAACAUGUGGUUUAAUUCGAUGAUACGCGAGGAACCUUACCCGGGUUUGAACGCAUUCGGACCGAGGUGGAAACACCUUUUCUAGCAAUAGCCGUUUGCGAGGUGCUGCAUGGUUGUCGUCAGCUCGUGCCGUGAGGUGUCGGCUUAAGUGCCAUAACGAGCGCAACCCUUGCCACUAGUUACUAACAGGUGAUGCUGAGGACUCUGGUGGGACUGCCAGCGUAAGCUGCGAGGAAGGCGGGGAUGACGUCAAAUCAGCACGGCCCUUACAUCCGGGGCGACACACGUGUUACAAUGGCGUGGACAAAGGGAGGCCACCUGGCGACAGGGAGCGAAUCCCCAAACCACGUCUCAGUUCGGAUCGGAGUCUGCAACCCGACUCCGUGAAGCUGGAUUCGCUAGUAAUCGCGCAUCAGCCAUGGCGCGGUGAAUACGUUCCCGGGCCUUGUACACACCGCCCGUCAAGCCAUGGGAGCCGGGGGUACCUGAAGUCCGUAACCGAAAGGAUCGGCCUAGGGUAAAACUGGUGACUGGG
rnacentral:rRNA from 1 species